rnacentral:rRNA from 3 species
GUGAACCUUCGGCUGGAUCAUUA